CAGUUAACGUCACACUUGAUGAGUAUUAACCAACAAGCUUUCCUCACUGAUGAAAGUGCUUUACAACCCGAAAGCCUUCUUCACACACGCGGCAUGGCUGGAUCAGGCUUUCGCCCAUUGUCCAAUAUUCCCC
rnacentral:rRNA from 1 species